rnacentral:rRNA from 1 species
AGCAGCCGCGGUAAUUCCAGCUCCAAUAGCGUAUAUUAAAGUUGUUGCAGUUAAAAGCUCGUAGUUGAAUUUCGGGAUCAGUUCGCUGGUCGUGCCUUGGUAUGUACUGGUGUUACUGGUUCCUACCUUCUGACGAACCGUCAUGUCAUUAAUUUGGUGUGGCGGGGAAUCAGGACUGUUACUUUGAAAAAUUAGAGUGUUUAAAGCAGGCUCGCGCUUGAAUACAUUAGCAUGGAAUAAUGAAAUAGGACGUUCGAUCCUAUUUUGUUGGUUUCUAGGAUUGACGUAAUGAUUAAUAGGGAUAGUUGGGGGCAUUAGUAUUCAAUUGUCAGAGGUGAAAAUUCUUGGAUUUAUUGAAGACUAACUACUGCGAAAAGCAUUUGCCAAGGAUGUUUUCAUUAAUCAAGAACGAAGGUUAGGGGAUCGAAGACGAUCAGAUACCGUCGUAGUCUUAACCAUAAAACUAUGCCGACUAGGGAUCGGAUGAUGUUAACUUUCUAAAUGACUCAUUCGGCGCCUU